GGUGGAGUUGAAUCGGGAGGAAGGGAACGACGCAGAGCUGGAUUUUGUUGUGUAGAAGCUCGAAAUGGAAGGCGGUGGGGCGAAGAAGUUGAGAGUAGUGGCUGCGACGGCCAUUUUCAGUGCCGUUGUUGUGAAUUGAAGGGAUGUGGGAAGUCUUUACUGCUUAGCCAGUUUACUUGAGGUUAAGAGCUAUUUCCAUUUGCAAAGAGUGAAGUGAACUGAAUGGAUGGGCGACUCUUUGCUGCUUACCUAGUUUACUUGAUGUUAAGAGCUAUUUCCAUUUUCAAAGAGAGUGAAGUGAAGACGAUUGGAGGUUUAUUGCGCCACCGUUCGUCGGCGGCGAAGAUUGUUGUGGAGGGAAGGAAGCUGAAGUGCAGAGAGGGAAGUGAUAGCGCAACUGUGUCG
rnacentral:lncRNA from 1 species